rnacentral:lncRNA from 1 species
GCCCGCUGCAUCUGUUUCUCGCAGGGCGGCCAGCAGUGUUGAGCAGCCGGGAAGGGUUUGCAGUCCGCCGGACACACAGCCCAACAUUUCUCCUCUCUGGUGACCGAACGUCUUCCGCAUCUCCCUCAUCAUGCUGGACGUCCUGAUAUUGAUGUUUUUCGCCAUCAUCGGCCUCAUGUUCCUGUCCUACAUCAUCUACAUGCUGUGAUUGUGUCGACAUGGACGCGCCUCGGGACGGAUCGCGAAACACAAAGGAAGAAGCUCUGUCUCUCUUCUUUCUGAUAUAUGGAGGAGAUGAAAUGUGAACACACUGGAAGAUUCAGGAUACAGGAUGAGACUUCCUCCUUCCCUCUGUCACACAAACACUGUUCCUGUAGGGUAGUAAUCAACCCCAAAAGCUCCGCCUGAAUGAUGUUUUCCUGCCUUUUUUAUUUGUACACUAUUGAAGUAUAUUUUCCUAAUGUCUGAAACACUAGCAUGUGAUCUGCAGCUGUCUGGGUGUUCAUUUUCCUGCCUGUUGUUUCUGCAUACUACGUUAACAGUGUUUAUAUCAAAUGCAUGUAUUUUAUGCCAGUGGCUCUUCAUAAAGCAGCUGUUUAUUUAGAAUAAAAAGCUUUUGUGAGGAUGAAA